rnacentral:tRNA from 1 species
GUCUUCGAGGUGUAGUGGUCAGCACGCUCGACAGAUAACCUAGAGGUCCGUGGUUCGAUUCCCAGCGAAGGCG